UUCUCUUAUAUACCAUGGCGCUGCAGAUCUAUCCAAAUUCUUCCAUACUGAAAAUCAUCCAAACGAGAACGAUAGCACCGGUAGUUUUCCUUGCGGCUUAUACGAGGGCCGUGGUUCGAUUCUGCCCUGGAGCGUAAGGGCAGGAAUGUGCAUUGCAUAAGAUCAUAAU
ensembl:ncRNA RNA polymerase III transcribed RNA of unknown function; conserved in other yeast species